ensembl:lncRNA
GGGAGGAGUUUAGAGGAAAGAGGAGGAGGAUAAAGGGAAGGUGGAGUGAAGGAUAAUAGAGAGUUGAGACAGAAUAAGAGGGGGAGGAGUUUAGAGGAAAGAGGAGGAGGAUGAAGGGAAGGUGGAGUGAAAGAUAAUAGAGAGUUGAGACAGAAUAAGAGGGGGAGGAGAGUUUAGAGGAAAGAGGAGGAGGAUGAAGGGAAGGUGGAGUGAAAGAUAAUAGAGAGUUGAAACAGAUAAUAAGAGGGGGAGGAGUUUAGAGGAAAGAGGAGGAGGAUAAAGGGAAGGUGGAGUGAAGGAUAACAGAGAGUUGAGACAGAUAAUAAGAGGGGGAGGAGAGUUUAGAGGAAAGAGGAGGAGGAUGAAGGGAAGGUGGAGUGAAGGAUAAUAGAGAGUUGAAACAGAU